AUCAAGUCUCCCAUUCCCACGCCAGCACCCCUCGAAAGAAAAAAAAUAACUCCCCACAUCUCCUCUAUCUCGCUCCCCCUUCCCCCUCCCCCGGUGUCUGAAUCCCAAACCCUAACCCAGCUGCGCUGCCGACCCCAUAUCCCCACCGCCGAUCCUGACCAGCAAUCUGGUUAGCUCCAGCCAUGGCAUCUUGUACCCCGGGCGUCCCCUUCCUUAGCCCACUAAGUCGUAGGAUUUGCCCCGCCGUCCACUGCCAUGGAUCCGUCGCCCAGUCCGCUUCGGAGGAGCUGCCAUCCAAUCCUGGUGUUUCCCGCCGCCGAGGAGCCGUCGUACCGUCCGCUUCCAAGGAGCCGUCAUCCAUCCGCUUCCAUGGAGCCAUCAGAAGAUAUGCCAUUGGUGGUCUUGAGGGUGGCGAAGAUAAAGACUUGUUUUGGCAUGUUGUUUCCCAGUGCACCGCUGGAUUGCCCGAAGAUAAACCACAAUAUGUAAUGGAGAACCUAGAAGGCUUAUACGCGACCAAUACAGAGCGACCUCUCCAGUAGUUGAAAACCAAGAUCAAAUGGCGGGAAGUAUCAAGUCAAAGAUAUUAUGGCUUUUGUACAUCUUGUAUUUUCUUCGAAUGGAAGUUGAUGUCGGUUUGGCGAUAGAAGAUUGGCUUUUCCAUAGUGUUCUGUAGAGUGAUUGAACACUUAGUCUCUUAUGAACUUGGACCAUAUUUUGUAACAUGCCACAACUUGUAUGUUGACUUGAGUAUUUCUUUAAUGGUUGUAGCCAGGAAAACUAAUGAAUCUUCUAUAUAUGAUGAAUAAAUGCGUUGGUCAAUGGCGU
rnacentral:rRNA from 1 species